rnacentral:tRNA from 4 species
GGGCGAGUGGCGGAACUGGCAGACGCACAUGACUUAGGAUCAUGCGGGGCAACCCUUGGAGGUUCAAGUCCUCUCUCGCCCA